rnacentral:rRNA from 1 species
UACGUAGGGUGCGAGCGUUAAUCGGAUUUACUGGGCGUAAAGGGCGCGUAGGCGGCAAAUUAAGUCAGCUGUGAAAUCUCCGAGCUUAACUCGGAACGGUCAGCUGAUACUGAUCUGCUAGAGUGCGGAAGGGGCAAUCGGAAUUCUUGGUGUAGCGGUGAAAUGCGUAGAUAUCAAGAGGAACACCUGAGGUGAAGACGGGUUGCUGGGCCGACACUGACGCUGAGUGCGCGAAAGCCAGGGGAGCAAACGGG